rnacentral:rRNA from 1 species
GACGAACGCUGGCGGCGUGCUUAACACAUGCAAGUCGAACGGAAAGGCCUUUUCGGAGGUACUCGAGUGGCGAACGGGUGAGUAACACGCGGGUGAUCUGCCCUGCACUCUGGGAUAAGCCUGGGAAACUGGGUCUAAUACCGGAUAGGACCGCACUUUAGUGUGUGUGGUGGAAAGUUUUUUCGGUGUAGGAUGAGCCCGCGGCCUAUCAGCUUGUUGGUGGGGUAAUGGCCUACCAAGGCGGCGACGGGUAGCCGGACUGAGAGGUUGGUCGGCCACAUUGGGACUGAGAUACGGCCCAGACUCCUACGGGAGGCAGCAGUGGGGAAUAUUGCACAAUGGGCGCAAGCCUGAUGCAGCGACGCCGCGGGGGGGAUGACGGCCUUCGGGUUGUAAACUCCUUUCGCCAGGGACGAAGCGUUUUGUGACGGUACCUGGAGAAGAAGCACCGGCUAACUACGUG